CUCCCCUACCACCCUCCCAACUAAAACCCUACCUAUCACAAACCCUUUCUACUCCCCAGGGAGGGUGAGGCCUUCUAUAGGGGGUCUGGCAUGAAAUUCUUAAAUGUGGACAACAAUGUGCACUCCAAGAUUUUAAACUAUCAAUGUUAUGUAUUUUUAAAUUAAUUUUUCUGUGAAUGUAUAUGUGCAAGUAUGCCAUGAGUGUUUGGGUGCCUGCAGAAAAGAAAGUGCUGAUUCCCCUUGACCUGGAAAUACAGUUUGUUGUGAGCUGCCCAAUAUAGGCUGCUGUAGGUUCUCGGAACCAGGUAUGGGCCCUCUGGAAGAGCAGCAAGUGCUCUUAACCAAAGCAAAUCUCUCUGGCCCCUCAAAUAAUAUUUUAAAUUUGCAUAAAAUAAAUAGAUAAUUUAAGUUUAUGUAACUAAAAUGCAAUGGGGGAAAUAAAAGCUUUUAAAAAAAGAAAAAGCGAGGAGAAAAAAGCAAGAAAACUGUGAUAUUUUGAAUUUCUUUCUCCUCCUCCUCCUCCUCCUCCUCCUCCUCCUCCUCCUCCUCCUCCUCCUUCUUCUUUUUUCGAGACAGGGUUUCUCUGUGGCUUUGGAGGCUGUCCUGGAACAGCUCUUAUAGACCAGAGCGAGUGCCAGGAUAGGCUCCAAAACUACAAAAAAAAAAAAAAAAAAAAAAAAAAAAAAAAAAAAACUUUAAAGUGGAAAGUAAACUUAAAAUUUCUUUAUGCAACUUGGAAAAAUGAGUACAAAAUACUACCAUUAUUCAAAUGAGAGCACCUAACAUAUUAACACCAUUAUGCCACUUCUAGGACAUCCAUAUUCCAAAGAUGAAGGGCUAGGGAGGUAAAGUGCUUGUCUAGAUUCCUUUAAAGCCUUGGGUUCCAUCUCUAUCACUGCAAAGAAAACAGAAAUUAAAAAAAAAAAAAAAAAAAAGCCACUACGAAAACCCUUCUUAUACACUAUCCAUAAAAUUAAUAACUUAAAAGAAAUUAUUAUGUUAAAAGAAAAUAUGGUAUUAAAUAAACAGUAAAAGAAAGAGAGACACAAGCACAGAAAACCAUGUAGGGUCGUGUAAAGUGGGCCACAGUAGGAGCCGACAGUAGGAGUAGAGUAUCAACUGGAAAACUGUCAUUUUUAGUAACUUAAAGGAAGGCUGAAGUUGGUUUCCAAGGGUUCAAUUAAGGAACCCAAGCCUGUACUGUACAGGAUUCUUUAGGGUUUUGUAAAUGUUUUCAUUCUAAUUUCCUAGAGAUAAAAAUAUGCAAGAAAAACUUUUACAAGAAAAAACAAACAAAAACAGCCUGUAGCAUUUUGCUACUAAUAAGACAAAGUUUUCAAUAUUUCUUUAUCUUACCUCCCAUUGAGUCCCAUCUCCUCCUCCCCCCUGGGAGGGGCGCAACAACACAGAUACACAUAACGUUGAUGACACACAUUCUCACUACUUGACUUGAAAGGAUUCAUCUGUGAUCAUAAGGUUAUCUAACAUACAUGGGUUUUGGAUUACUAAUGCAAUGUGUGAGACAAUGGAAGAGAAACAUCUGAAGCACUAACUUUCAUUUAAAUGGGGCCCCCUAACCCUUAGGAACAGAAAUUUGAGUCUGAGUUUUUUUUUUUUUUUUUGAGAGAUGCAAAAUUAGCUCAAGAAGUAGAUGGAAAUGAAUCUUUUGUUAAUUUCAGAGUCUGGAAUACUUUCAUAGAAAUAAUUAUCUGUGUGUAUUUAACAUGAACUUAUUAAUAUGCCAGUUUUUCUGGAGAUAUAUUAAUUUCAGCUAACCUGUUAGAAUCAUUCUGUUGUAAUGUAUAGUUUUCCAAAUUUAAAUCAGGAAAAAUUUUAAUGUGUGCAAGUGUGUGCAUACAGACAGAAAAGAGAUUGCCUUUGCUGUUUUUCCUAUCUCCUGAAGUUUUAAAAACUAAGUGUAAAAAGUUUCUUACAAAGAAGUCUCAAAUUAAUGCAAAAACAAAAAAUAUUUCAAGAGGCUACUUUCAAGCUAUAAAACUGCAAGAUCAAUAAACUUGAAUAAUGAUAAUAAAAAAUACCAUUACUAGGACUGGAAAGAUGGAUGGCUCCUGGUUAAGAGUACUUCUUGUUCUUGUAGAUACCAGGGUUCCCAGCACCCAUAUGGUGGUACACAACCAACACCUUAGAACUCCAGUUCCAGGGGAUCCAUUGCCCUCUUCUGGCCUCCACGGACACCAGGCACAGUACACAUGUAUAUGCAGUCAAACCCACAUAAAAUAAAAAUAUGUAAGCCUUAAAAAAAUCUUUAGUUAUUUUUAAACUUUGGAGAAAUGAUUUAAUAUUGUGAUUCUCAGACUUGGAGAUAACAGAGCCUUUCUAGAAAAUACUUUCCACACUAGUAAAGUAACCUACAGCAAUGAAAUCAUUCUUGUUCUAAACUAAAGUAAAAUCAAACAUUAACGAAUAUAGAGCUGAGGGAGACUUAAGCUAUUCUAGGAUAGACAGAAAAUAAUCAGAAGUGAAUGGAAACAUGACAGCAAAUAGUAAGUUUUUGUAGUAAUGGUGGUGGGUCACUGAGGAGGGAACUGGAAGCUAAUACUUACAAAAUAAUUGUUGGGCUAUUUAGAGGGCUGUUCUAGUAAUAUCUUCAUUUUAGCAUUGUUAAACCUAUGAAAAAAAGAAUGAAGACUUUAAAAUUUGAGCUUAUUACAGAUGCAAAAACAUUUUCAACUCAUGUCAGCAAUCAUUGUUUUCUGAUUCUUACACAUAGAAUCACAGAUUACAAUUUACCAGCAGUAGUGUUUGUAAUUUCAAUUCAGUGCAUUGUCAUUAAGUCUGCAAAAUGUGCUUUCCCAGUAAAACUACUUUCUGAUUAUUUAAAACUCAUGUAUGUCAAGUGUAGCUAACACUGCUAACUUGGGGUAUGCGGAGUUCUGAGGAUAACACAAAAUUCCAAGUAUUUUACAUUAAUUCCAGAUCACAUCCCAAGAUAUUUCCCUUUCUUCUCUCCAUCCACAGCACACCUCCACACACAAAGUCUACACACUUCCCUAUUACAAGAACUCUAAUACAAUAUAGAAAACCACAAAGAGCUUAAAAUGCAUUGAAAAAAAAAUCAGUGGGAAUAAAACAUUAUGAGAUGACCACAACAAAAUAUUGUUCAAAAAUUGCCUGAAGCAAAAAAUAACUGAAAGUAGUGAUAAAGAAAGGAUAAAGAAAGUAGAGCCCUUGAACCAUAGCAGGAAUAUACUACAGACCAGCCUUUAAAACAUCCUAGUAACUUUAGUUAGUCACAAUAUUUUAUUUCUUUGAGACAUUAUAUACUGUGUUCCUAUUAUUUGAGACAGUCUUGUUAAUAAGGCCCUGCCUGGCCUUAAACUUGGGAUCCUCUUGUCUCAUCUUCCCAAGUGCCGGAUUACUGGAAUAUGCAAACAUAACUACACACAAUUACUUAUUGAAAGAAUACACAAAAUCUUUUAUGCUUUUACCAGAACAUUCCUAGUGCAUAUUUAUUGCAGAUUACUUUCUCACAAAAGGGUGCAUUUCUUUUUAUUUCAAAAUUCACCAAUCCCCUUCAAUAAUGCCAACAUGAAAUCUAUACUUUAACAUGAAGCUCCACCCCAAAUCCAGCUCUAUUGAAGUGUUAAACAAUAUCCCAAUUAUACACUAGAUCCUGAUGUGCCAAGCCCUAGUCGCAUUCCUUUAGGAUGUAACUACAAUCUUGAAUUUGGUAUUUACUUCCUAUGCAUGUUUUUUUACACUAUAACUACAAAUUUAACUGUUAUACACAUAUGUUACUUUCCGCAAAGGUUAAUUUUUUGCUGAGUACAGUCAUCCAGAAUAAUAUACACAACUCUUAUUUUAAUGGCUAUGCAGUAUAACUAUGUCACAUUGUGUAAUGGGGGUCUACUAUAACUUCAACUGUAUUAUAACAUUUCCAAGUGCUCCACAAACUAGAGAAAAACUUGUAUUUUCCCCAACAUUUGAAAAUACAUUUAAGAAAAAUACCUACUUCUGUGUAGAAAUGAACAUUUUUUAAUGUUUAGUUUUUAUCUUAUUAUUGACAUCUAUUGUAUAUAUAUGGGUGCUUUACCUGCAUGAAUGUCUGAAUGCUAUUUGCAUGGCUGGUGCCCACAGAAGAAGGUGUCAGAUUUCCUACAACUUGGGCUGUGAGCUGCCAUGUGGGUUCAGGGAACUGAACCUGGGUCCUCUGUAGGAGCAAUAAGUGCUCUCUCUUAACAGUUGAGCCAUCUCUCCAUCCAACUGCUCUCAAGUGUGUAUAACAUUAACAUAGGGUCAAAAUUUGUCCCAAAACAUUUCACAAAAAUAAAAGUUCUGAAAACAGAUUGUUCUUCAUAUGACUAAGGAAAUACCAACACUUAGAAGUGCUGUAGAAAUGAUAAGAUUCCUAAUUAGAUACUGAACUUUGUUAGAUCCAAGAUAACCAAUAGCUGAGAUAUGGUGGAUGAACCAGAUGUCAUGAUUUGGUAUGAACAGUCCUUUCCGCCCCACCUCAUUUAUUGUGGUGUUCCUUUAAGGGGCGGUGGGGGGGGGGAAUCCUUUAGACCUUGUAAAAGGCAUAAAUUCUGGACAUCUAGGACCACAAUUUUAAUUAAGCAGGUCAGGAAAAAUGCUUUAUUUUAGAUCAUUCUAGUAGUCAGUCCACAGACAUUCAGCAGGAGUCAAUCAGGGUGGCAGAUAUUUUUAACAGAGGAUUAUGCAUCUAACUUUUAGGUUAAGCAUGUGUAGUAUUAUUAUGCCUUUCUGUCAAAUUACAUCAACAUAAAAACAGUAGUAGCCUAAAAAAGCAAUUUCAAUUUAUAAUUUCAUAAUGCCAGAAUAGACUGUGGUCUCAAUUAUUAAUUCAGAUAAAUAAACGCACAAUGUGACAAAAGCCAUUUUUGUUAGCAAUACCAAAGAAAUGAUAUUCUGAGUUUACUAUGACUGGUAAAGCAAACAUUAAGCACAUGGGGAUGGAUCAGAAGCGAUUUUAAGGCUGGAGAAAUGGCCCAGCUGUUAAAGGCUAGGCUCACAACCAAGAAUAUAAGUGAUUUUAAUGAUGAUAACCAAGGAGCAAUGAUGGUUAUCUUUUAAAAAUAUAAUGGCAAACACUGACACAAAACUAAACGUCACUUUUAAUUUUCUACCAAAGUCUUAUAAAUGAAACCAGAACUUUAACAGAGAGCCAAUAUUCACUUACCUAGAAUUGUAAUUAUACAGAUAAAGGGGGAGAAAAACUUAUGUAGAUAAUGCAAGUUAGUGCAAAUAGAAGUAUACACGUCUAUAAAACUAUAUUACUUGAAAUUACAAAGUAAUUUCUAAAAGAUGUAGAAUUUGAUAUGGUAUGUUAAGAACUCAUAAAGUAUGACUAGAAAUAUAAAAUAGUUAAAGGGUUUUCACCUAUGGUGU
rnacentral:lncRNA from 1 species